UAUGUGAUCGUCUCUCGCAUAUCAAUAAGCGGAGGAAAAGAAACUAACAAGGAUUCCCCUAGUAACGGCGAGUGAAGCGGGAAGAGCUCAAAUUUGAAAUCUUAAAGGGUUUCCCUUUACGAAUUGUAGUUUAAAGAAGUGUUUUCUGUUGAGGUUUUGGUAAAAGUUCUUUGGAAUAGGACAUCAUAGAGGGUGAGAAUCCCGUAUUUGACCUUUACUUUCAACUUUGUGAUACACUUUCAAAGAGUCGGAUUGUUUGGGAAUGCAGUCCAAAAUGGGUGGUAAAUUUCAUCUAAAGCUAAAUAUUGGCGAGAGACCGAUAGCGAACAAGUACUGUGAGGGAAAGAUGAAAAGAACUUUGAAAAGAGAGUUAAACAGUACGUGAAAUUGUCAAAAGGGAAGCGUUUGACACCAGUGUUGUUUUUCUGAAAAUCAAUCAAAGAACUGUUUAUGCUAAGUUGUUUAGACUUUAUCAGCUAUCUGCUUAGUCUUGAGCUUUUCUUUAAUGCACUUUUCAGUUAACAAGUCAACAUCAAUUUCUUUUGCUGUAAAAAAGCUUGAGGAAGGUGGCUUGAGAUUCGUCUUAAGUGUUUAUAGCCUCUUGCCUAUGCAGUCGGAGAGAUUGAGGUCUGCAGCGUAGAUCCUUCGGGGCUAAAUGCAUUUGUGCUAAGUUAUAGCAUUUUAUAGACAACUUGUUGACUAUGAUUUGUCUUGUAGCUUACUCGCUUAUGUUAUUUUACCUACGCUUAGGAUGUUGAGUCGUAGAGCACGCAG
rnacentral:rRNA from 1 species